rnacentral:lncRNA from 1 species
UCACCUUAAACUGGAUGCCGACUGCCAUAAAACGGAUGCUUAUUUGCAUGUAGGCCGUGUGUGUGUUCUUCUUUCUGAUGGUUUACUUUAUUUAUAAAUCUUUUGAGUGUUUGUAGGUAUUCACAUUCACCAUCUCCUUAUAAGGGUUGUUCUAGAUCAAGAUCCUGAUCUAGGGGCAGGGUCCUAGUCGCCCCUUCCCA